rnacentral:lncRNA from 1 species
CCCAGCCCUCCCUUCAACCCCUCCAGUCCUCCCUAUUUACAAAGAUUUUGUUCCUAUUUUUCCCUUUUCUCAUAUUAAUCCCAUUCCCUUCUAUCCUUUCCCCUAGCCCUCCCACUUCCUUCGCCUUUGCCCCUUUUCUUCCUAUUUCACAUUCCCUAUUAUACAUUUAGUCCUUAUUAACACUUUCAGUUUCUCACACCAGAGAAACUAUUUGGUAUUUAUACAUGUGUGUCCUAUUUAUUUAACUUAAGAGUAUCGCCUCAAUGUGCAUCCACUUAGCUAUAAAUGUCUCUAAUUUCUCAUUUUUGAUGGCUGAGUAGUACUCCAUUUUAUUUUUUAAAAACCCAAUUUUCUUUAUCCAUUCUCCAGUUGAUGGGCAUUUGGGCUGUUUCCAAGUUUUAGCUAUCACAAACUGUGCUGCUAUGAACAUGGGUGCACAUAUAUCACUGUGGUAUGAUUCUUUUAAUUCUUUGGGGAAGAUCCCCAGCAGUGGAAUAGCGGGGUCAAAUGGGACUUCCAGUCCUAGUUCUUUGAGGUAUCUCCAUACUCGUUUCCACAGUGGUUGCACCAGUCUACACUCCCACCAGUAGUGGAGCAGGGUUCCUCUUUCCCCACAGCCCCGCCAGCAUUUCUUAUUGGUUGAUUUCAUGAUAGCAGCCAUUCUUUCUGGAGUGAGGUGGAAUCUCAGCAUUGUUUUCAUUUGCAUCUCUCGAAUGACCAGUGCUGUUGAACAUUUUUUCAUGUAUUUAUUUGCUAUUUCUACUUCUUUGUCUGAGAAAUGUCUGUUCAUUUCAGAUGCCCAUUUUCGGAUUGGGUCUUUAAAUUUGGGAGGUCUGAGCUUUUUAAGUUCUUUAUAGAUUUGAGAUAGUAGACCUUUGUCUGAGGAAGAGCAAGUGAAGAUUUUUCCCCACAUUGUGGGUUGUCUCUUCACACUGCUGGUGGUUUCUCUUGCUGUGCAGAAGCCUUUUAAUAAGAAGAGAUCCCACUUGUUGAUUGUUUGUGCUAGUUCACGGGCAACUGAGGUUUUGUUCAUAAAAUCUUUUCCUACACUGAUGUCUUCAAGGGUUCUACCUAACCUCUGUUCCAACUGAUUCAGAGUUUCUAUUUUAAUAUUUAGAUCUUUAAUCCAUUUUGAUUUCAGUUUAGUGCAUGGUGAGAGAUACAGGUCUACUUUUAAUCUCAAAGGGG